GAGCGAUGAAGCACCUUCGGGUGUGAAUUAGCGGCGAACGGGUGAGGAACACGUGAAGAAUCUGCCUUCAACUCUGGGAUAACUCCGGGAAACCGGGGCUAAUACCGGAUAUGAGCCUUGAUCGCAUGAUCGGGGCUGGAAAGUUUUUCGGUUGAAGAUGACUUCGCGGCCUAUCAGCUUGUUGGUGAGGUAAUGGCUCACCAAGGCGACGACGGGUAGCCGGCCUGAGAGGGCGACCGGCCACACUGGGACUGAGACACGGCCCAGACUCCUACGGGAGGCAGCAGUGGGGAAUAUUGGGCAAUGGAGGAAACUCUGACCCAGCGACGCCGCGUGAGGGAUGAAGGCCUUCGGGUUGUAAACCUCUUUCAGUAGGGAAGAAGCGAAAGUGACGGUACCUACAGAAGAAGCACCGGCUAACUAUGUGCCAGCAGCCGCGGUAAUACAUAGGGUGCAAGCGUUGUCCGGAAUUAUUGGGCGUAAAGAGCUCGUAGGUGGUUCGAUACGUCGGAUGUGAAAAUCAGGGGCUCAACCCCUGACCUGCAUCCGAUACGGUCGAGCUAGAGUUUGGUAGGGGAGACUGGAAUUCCUGGUGUAGCGGUGGAAUGCGCAGAUAUCAGGAGGAACACCGAUGGCGAAGGCAGGUCUCUGGGCCAAUACUGACACUGAGGAGCGAAAGC
rnacentral:rRNA from 1 species